rnacentral:rRNA from 1 species
CAGCAGCCGCCGCGGGAAUACGUAGGGCGCAAGCGUUGUCCGGAAUUAUUGGGCGUAAAGAGCUCGUAGGCGGUCUGUCGCGUCUGGUGUGAAAUCCCGAGGCUCAACCUCGGGCUUGCAUCGGGUACGGGCAGACUAGAGUGCGGUAGGGGAGACUGGAAUUCCUGGUGUAGCGGUGGAAUGCGCAGAUAUCAGGAGGAACACCGAUGGCGAAGGCAGGUCUCUGGGCCGCAACUGACGCUGAGGAGCGAAAGCAUGGGGAGCGAACAGGAUUAGAUACCCGCGUAGUCCCUGUCUCUUAUAC